rnacentral:rRNA from 1 species
GAUGAACGCUGGCGGCGUGCCUAAUACAUGCAAGUCGAGCGAACGGACGAGAAGCUUGCUUCUCUGAUGUUAGCGGCGGACGGGUGAGUAACACGUGGAUGACCUACCUAUAAGACUGGGAUAACUUCGGGAAACCGUAGCUAAUACCGGAUAAUAUUUUGAACCGCAUGGUUCAAAAGUGAAAGACGGUCUUGCUGUCACUUAUAGAUGGAUCCGCGCUGCAUUAGCUAGCUGGUAAGGUAACGGCUUACCAAGGCAACGAUGCAUAGCCGACCUGAGAGGGUGAUCGGCCACACUGGAACUGAGACACGGUCCAGACUCCUACGGGAGGCAGCAGUAGGGAAUCUUCCGCAAUGGGCGAAAGCCUGACGGAGCAACGCCGCGUGAGUGAUGAAGGUCUUCGGAUCGUAAAACUCUGUUAUUAGGGAAGAACAUAUGUGUAAGUAACUGUGCACAUCUUGACGGUACCUAAUCAGAAAGCCACGGCUAACUACGUG